GGGGAAUCUUCCGCAAUGGGCGCAAGCCUGACGGAGCAACGCCGCGUGGGUGAGGAAGGCCUUCGGGUUGUAAAGCCCUGUCUUAUGGGAAGAAGAAAGUGACGGUACCAUAGGAGGAAGCCACGGCUAACUACGUGCCAGCAGCCGCGGUGAUACGUAGGUGGCAAGCGUUGUCCGGAAUUACUGGGCGUAAAGGGCGAGUAGGCGGUUACUUAAGUCAGGUGUGAAAACUGCGGGCUCAACCCGGAGAUUGCACCUGAUACUGGGUGACUUGAGUGCAGGAGAGGGCAGUGGAAUUCCUAGUGUAGCGGUGAAAUGCGUAGAUAUUAGGAGGAACACCAGUGGCGAAGGCGGCUGCCUGGACUGUAACUGACGCUGAGGCGCGAAAGCGUGGGGAGCAAAC
rnacentral:rRNA from 1 species